AUUGAACGCUGGCGGCAUGCUUUACACAUGCAAGUCGAACGGUAACAGGCCUUCGGGUGCUGACGAGUGGCGAACGGGUGAGUAAUGCAUCGGAACGUACCCAGAGGUGGGGGAUAACGCAGCGAAAGCUGUGCUAAUACCGCAUGUGAUCUGAGGAUGAAAGCGGGGGACCGAGCAGCAAUGUUUGGCCUCGCGCCUUUGGAGCGGCCGAUGUCGGAUUAGCUAGUUGGUGGGGUAAAGGCCUACCAAGGCGACGAUCCGUAGCUGGUCUGAGAGGACGACCAGCCACACUGGGACUGAGACACGGCCCAGACUACUACGGGAGGCAGCAAUGGGGAAUUUUGGACAAUGGGCACAAGCCUGAUCCAGCAAUGCCGCGUGCGGGAAGAAGGCCUUCGGGUUGUAAACCGCUUUUGGCAGGAACGAAACGGUGUCCGCUAAUACCGGGCGCUAAUGACGGUACCUGCAGAAUAAGCACCGGCUAACUACGUG
rnacentral:rRNA from 1 species